UUUCCUGUUUUUUUCUUCAAAGACAUGGUAUUUUAUUUCAUUAAAAAAAGAAAACAAAUGUAAGUCAAUACAUCUAUGUUGGGGUUUUUCAAAAGACAAAAAAAGAAUAGUAAACUAAGAAAAAGUUUUCAGAAGCUUGAAGUAAAGGAAAAUAGAAGCAAGAAAAAAUGAGAAGUAAAAAAGAAAAAGCACGUUGUUGUUAAGUGGAAAGAGAAAUAGCUACACAGUUCUUCUUCAACCUUCUGUAUUGAGACCAAUGAGACAAGCUCUCUGAAACCUUUUGAAUUUCUCUGUUGCUUGAGAAGCUUGAGACAGAAUUUUCUCAAUGCAUAUUCUCUUUUUCUAAAAAAUAAAGGCAUUCCUAGCUAGCCAUGAUUGCCACAAUAGGUAUUAUACUCGCUAAAUUGAAGCUGUUCCAUGCGUUCAUCAUUGCGAAGCAAAACACUGUAGCGUGGAGAGGGGUUUUUGGAUGGCUUUGACAGAUUGGACAAGUCUUGACGAUGUGAGGGUCUUGUCUUGAAGGCAUUCAUGGAGAUUAUCCACGGGAUGAAAAAAUUGGUAUGCCAUAUUGUAUCCAGAGUUGACUGAGUAAGCACCAGAAUUGUGAAGUGUCCAUUUCAUUGAUUCCAGC